GCACCUACAAUAAAAAAUGACAUAAUUUUAUCAUAAUUCAUUUUUCAGUUGUUCUAAAAUCAGAGUUUGGUGCCAUUGAAAUCGCCAUGACAGCACAGAAAAAGAAUCAAUCCUUAUUUUUUGUGGUCUGUAACGUAGAAAUUUAUGUUUGUUCCUUAGUAUCCUGCCAUGAAAAUGUGGUUGGAGUUCAGGAUCCAUACACUCCCAAAUCUUGACAAAGGAAUGAAGAUGGUGGAAACAAAUAUGAACACAAUCCUAGUGAGAAAUCCUAUAUAAAUCGGCAACGUAGAAGACCACCAAGUAGACACAGGAAUAACAUUGUCACGUGUAGAGUGACUAUCAAAGGGGUUUUGAUUGCAGAGCAAUGCUAGUUGCGGUAUGGGGAGAGACUGUGAUGCCAUUCUCUUCUGGCAGGGCCUGAUGCUCCCCACUGUGCACAACAAGUCGAGCUCCUGCCUGUGGACUCAGACCUGCUCCCAGACUGGUUCCCAAGAAAAGUCCACAUGACAGUUGGUGAUCACAUGAAGUUCUAGAAGACGUGUUCCCAACUCAGUACCCCAGUGUUGGGCUGCAAGUUUUCGCAAAUUUGUGCAAUGAAUACGGUUCAGAUUGCAGACUGUUACUGAUGGGAACGGUAAGGCUACUACCUGGUCCAUUGUCAUAGAUGUUAUUACUGGGUAAGAAAUAUACUCUGUAGUGGUUGUAUACACAUCUCGCACUGUACAUGCAAACCCAAUAAUGAACAACAAAGUCCAGAUGAAGGAAGAUAGUCUGCCUGAUGCAUGGUAGAUAUUUUGUAAGCCUGGAAUAGUUGUAAUUGUGAGAUACUGGUGCCAGGUCUUCACCAGUACCUCCCAUAUAUAUGGAUUCCUCUUUGAUGUUUUCUGCAUGGGAACUGGCACCUCAGAA